rnacentral:rRNA from 1 species
CACAUGCAAGUCGAACGAGAACGGAUUAUAGCUUGCUAUAAUUGUCAGCUAAGUGGCGCACGGGUGAGUAAUAUAUAGGUAACAUGCCUCUUACUAAGGGAUAACAGAUGGAAACGUCUGCUAAUACCUUAUACGCCUUUAAUACUGAAGUAUGCAAGGGAAAGAUUUAUUGGUAAGAGAUUGGCCUGUACGGUAUCAGUUAGUUGGUGAGGUAAUGGCUCACCAAGACGAUGACACCUAACUGGUUUGAGAGGAUGAUCAGUCACACUGGAACUGAGACACGGUCCAGACUCCUACGGGAGGCAGCAGUGGGGAAUAUUGCACAAUGGACGAAAGUCUGAUGCAGCAACGCCGCGUGGAGGAUGACACAUUUCGGUGCGUAAACUCCUUUUAUAGGUCAAGAUAAUGACGGUAGCCUAUGAAUAAGCGCCGGCUAACUCCGUGCCAGCAGCCGCGGUAAUACGGAGGGCGCAAGCGUUACUCGGAAUCACUGGGCGUAAAGAGCGUGUAGGCGGAUUAAUAAGUCAGAAGUGAAAUCCAAUAGCUUAACUAUUGAACUGCUUUUGAAACUGUUGAUCUAGAGUGUGGGAGAGGUAGAUGGAAUUUCUGGUGUAGGGGUAAAAUCCGUAGAUAUCAGAAGGAAUACCGAUUGCGAAGGCGAUCUACUGGAACAUAACUGACGCUGAGACGCGAAAGCGUGGGGAGCAAACAGGAUUAGAUACCCUGGUAGUCCACGCCCUAAACGAUGUACACUAGUUGUUGCCUUGCUAGACAAGGCAG